rnacentral:tRNA from 1 species
CGGGGUGUGGCGCAGUUGGCUAGCGUACUUGCAUGGGGUGCAAGGGGUCGUGAGUUCGAGUCUCACCACUCCGACCA